AUGCCGAAUCUGGACGGCAACGACGGCCAUGACCAUGAAGACAAGCAAAACCCACUGGCGUGGCUUCCCGCGGGGUUCCUGGAGAGGACGGCGGACAAGGGGCUGGCGGUGGCGGCGUGGGCGCCUCAGGUGCGCGUGCUCUCCCACCCGGCGACGGCGGUGUUCGUGUCGCACUGCGGCUGGAACUCGGCGCUGGAGAGCGUGUCGGCCGGCGUGCCGAUGGUGGCGUGGCCGCUGUACGCGGAGCAGCGGAUGAACGCCGUGGUCCUGGAAGGGAGCGUCGGGGUGGCGCUGCGCCCGCGGGCGCGGGAGCGCGGCGAGAUCGCGGCCGUGGUGAAGGAGCUGAUGGAGGGGGCGGACAAGGGGCGCGCCGUGCGGCGGCAGGCCGGGGACCUGCAGCAGGCGGCGGCGCACGCGUGGUCGCCGGAGGGGUCGUCGCGCCGGGCGCUGGAGCAGGUCGCCGCCACGUGGAAGAAGGUGACGCUUGCCAAGGUGAAGUAA
rnacentral:rRNA from 1 species